UACGGGGGUGGCAAGCGUUGUUCGGAAUUACUGGGCGUAAAGGGCUCGUAGGCGGCCAACUAAGUCAGACGUGAAAUCCCUAGGCUCAACCUAGGAACUGCGUCUGAUACUGGAUGGCUUGAAUCCGGGAGAGGGAUGCGGAAUUCCAGGUGUAGCGGUGAAAUGCGUAGAUAUCUGGAGGAACACCGGUGGCGAAGGCGGCGUCCUGGACCAACACUGACACUGAGGAGCGAAAGCCAGGGGAGCAAACGGG
rnacentral:rRNA from 1 species